rnacentral:rRNA from 1 species
UUUGAUCCUGGCUCAGGAUGAACGCUAGCGGCAGGCCUAAUACAUGCAAGCUGAACGGUAAAUAUUGUAGCAAUACAAUAUGAGAGUAGCGUAAGGGUGCGUAACACGUAUGCAAUCUGCCCUGUACAGGAGGAUAGCUCGGCGAAAGCCGGAUUAAUACUUCGUAAUAUUAUGGAGGGGCAUCUCUUUAUAAUUAAAGUCGCAAGAUGGUACAGGAUGAGCAUGCGUCUGAUUAGCUAGUUGGUAGUGUAACGGACUACCAAGGCGAUGAUCAGUAGGGGAACUGAGAGGUUGAUCCCCCACACUGGCACUGAGAUACGGGCCAGACUCCUACGGGAGGCAGCAGUAGGGAAUAUUGGUCAAUGGGUGAGAGCCUGAACCAGCCAUGCCGCGUGCAGGAAGAAGGCCUUCUGGGUUGUAAACUGCUUUUGCCGGGGGAUAAAAUUCCCAUGCGUGGGACAUUGAAGGUACCCGGUGAAUAAGCCACGGCUAACUACGUGCCAGCAGCCGCGGUAAUACGUAGGUGGCAAGCGUUGUCCGGAUUUAUUGGGUUUAAAGGGUGCGUAGGCGGUCUUGUAAGUCAGUUCUGAAAUAUCCCGGCUUAACCGGGAGGGUGGGAUUGAUACUGCAGGACUUGAGUGGAGUCGAGGUAGGCGGAAUUGACGGUGUAGCGGUGAAAUGCUUAGAUAUCGUCAAGAACACCGAUAGUGUAGACAGCUUACUAGUCUCAAACUGACGCUGAGGCACGAAAGUGUGGGGAUCAAACAGGAUUAGAUACCCUGGUAGUCCACACUGUAAACGUUGAUUACUCGCUGUGUGCGAUAUACAGUACGCGGCUUAGCGAAAGCGAUAAGUAAUCCACCUGGGGAGUACGCCGGCAACGGUGAAACUCAAAGGAAUUGACGG